UACGAAGGGGGCUAGCGUUGUUCGGAAUUACUGGGCGUAAAGCGCGCGCAGGCGGCUUGGUAAGUUGGGGGUGAAAUCCCCGGGCUCAACCCGGGAAUGGCCUUCAAGACUGUCGAUCUUGAGGACGAGAGAGGUGAGUGGAAUUCCCAGUGUAGAGGUGAAAUUCGUAGAUAUUGGGAAGAACACCGGUGGCGAAGGCGACUUACUGGACACAUAUUGACGCUGAGGUGCGAAAGCGUGGGGAGCAAACAGG
rnacentral:rRNA from 1 species